GUGGAAACAGGUGCUAAUACCGUAUAACAAUAGAAACCGCAUGGUUUUGAUUUGAAAGGCGCUUUCGGGUGUCGCUGAUGGAUGGACCCGCGGCGCAUUAGCUAGUUGGUGAGGUAACGGCUCACCAAGGCGACGAUGCAUAGCCGACCUGAGAGGGUGAUCGGCCACAUUGGGAGUGAGACACGGCCCAGACUCCUACGGGAGGCAGCAGUAGGGAAUCUUCGGCAAUGGACGAAAGUCUGACCGAGCAACGCCGCGUGAGUGAAGAAGGUUUUCGGAUCGUAAAACUCUGUUGUUAGAGAAGAACAAGGAUGAGAGUAACUGUUCAUCCCUUGACGGUAUCUAACCAGAAAGCCACGGCUAACUA
rnacentral:rRNA from 1 species